rnacentral:rRNA from 1 species
GACGAACCGUGCGAACGUUAUUCGGAAUCACUGGGCUUAAAGCGCGUGUAGGCGGAUGGGAACGUCGGUCGCUGAAAUCCCCCGGCUUAACCGGGGAAGUGGCGCCGAUACGCCCCGUCUGGAGGAACGUAGGGGGAGCUGGAACUUCCGGUGGAGCGGUGAAAUGCGUUGAGAUCGGAAGGAACGCCCGUGGCGAAAGCGAGCUCCUGGACGUUUUCUGACGCUGAGACGCGAAAGCCAGGGGAGCGAACGGG